CGGCAGAUGAGUUUUUAACGUUAGGCCUUGUUUAUGCUGGGGAUUAAGUCAUUUGUGGUCAGCAACCAGUGCAGCUGGGCUGCUGCAGGCUCCCAGUUCACAUCCGAUGACAUGACUCGGGUGGAAAUCGGGGGCAUGCUCGGCUGCUGGAAGGGCGAUUUCUGCCCUCGCCGCCGGGCUGCUGGCGGUGGCCGGAGCGGAGGUGACCGGGUGUGUGCGGUGCCGGGGUCCCCGGCACGCCAGGUUGGAGCAGAGCUUCUUGGGCGAGUGGAAAACUUCAGAGAGAAAAGAGAAGGAAGAAAUCUUCCACCUUCCAGAAACCUGAUAUUUUGGACCAGAUCCCUCUCUGAACAGGUUGUAUGCUGCCCUUUUCAGAAUCAAGCUAUCAGAAGAUGCCCUUCAGCAGAAGUGUUAAGAGGACUUGUAUAA
rnacentral:lncRNA from 1 species